AACGAACGCUGGCGGCAGGCCUAACACAUGCAAGUCGAGCGGACAUCUUCGGAUGUUAGCGGCGGACGGGUGAGUAACGCGUGGGAACGUGCCCUUUGCUUCGGAAUAGCCUCGGGAAACUGGGAGUAAUACUGGAUGUACCCUUUGGGGGAAAGAUUUAUCGGCAAAGGAUCGGCCCGCGUUGGAUUAGGUAGUUGGUGGGGUAAUGGCCUACCAAGCCGACGAUCCAUAGCUGGUUUGAGAGGAUGAUCAGCCACACUGGGACUGAGACACGGCCCAGACUCCUACGGGAGGCAGCGGUGGGGAAUCUUAGACAAUGGGGGAAACCCUGAUCUAGCCAUGCCGCGUGAGCGAUGAAGGCCUUAGGGUCGUAAAGCUCUUUCACCGGGGAAGAUAAUGACGGUACCCGGAGAAGAAGCCCCGGCUAACUCCGUG
rnacentral:rRNA from 1 species